rnacentral:lncRNA from 1 species
UUGAAACAUUUCAUAUUUAGUCAAAAAUCUAUUUGAAACCUCCGAUAAGUUUGAAAAACAUCAUUCAACAUAAGUCUAAUGUAAAUCAUUACAGCUAACAUAAAAACAUAAUUCAUAAUAUCCAUAUCAAUAAUGUAUGAUUAUUAAAUGAUCCAAAACAAAAUGUUUCAAACUUGAAUCCUCAAAACAACUACCAACUAUCAGGGUCAGAAUCACUUUCUUUCGCGUUAUCAGAAUUAGAAUCACUUUCAUUCACGUCGUCAGAGUCAUCGUCACUUUCAUCCUCAUAAUCUUGGUUGCCUUCUUGAGAUGACAAUUCAUCACUUGAAGAUGAUUUCUUGCAUACAUGCUACAUCAACAAGUCCAAUUCCUUUCUCAGCCUUUUAUUUUUGUGUUGCUCAUUCUGCAACAGAGUACACAAAUCAACAUUUGAAGCAUCAACCUGAGACUUAAUCAUCUCAUCAAUUUCUUUUGGCAAAGUUGAUGUUGAUUUGUUAGAUGCCUUUACACUUUGACCUAAGGAGCCAAGACCUUUGACUCUUUUUUUUCACCUACAGAUUGCACCCAAAUAUCCAUUUCACUUAACUGAGAAGACUGACAAGCUAAAUUAGUUUCUCCUUCUACUACUAAUGCACUUUGAGCAGCUAAUAUUUCUUGUUUGUUUCUUUCAAACUCAUUCUGCAUAAGGAUAUGUUAAUUCAGGCCAUAAAAAGUGCUAAAAAUAUACAUUAUUAGCAUAAACUAUAUUACAUUAUAAUAUCAAAUAAAAGCAUAACAAUCAACGAAUACAAAUAACAUGUAUUACCCUAUAAAGCAUCAUAAACUCAAAGUUGAUUUCAAAUUAUUGUGACCAUUGUUAUGACUUGUUCCAUUAAGAUAACAGAUGAUGAAAUUAGAAGAAUAAGAGAACAAGAGGAAGCUGCAUAAUAGAUUAUAAUUUCAUAGUUUCACCGGGCAAUGGAGAGAAGAAUGCAUAUUGCGAAAUCCUUUAUCUCGAGAAUUCCAUCUACUAUUGAAAAGUGAAGUUGGAUAACCAUGCUAUAUUGGAUAAGUGAAAAAGAUGCAUGGUAGAGCAGGAAUUUUCACUAUGGAAUUCAAAAUAUGAAAUGGCAAACACAUAAACUAACCAAAAGAGGUUCACAUCUAUUAUAAAUACCUAAAAAUAAUAAUUUUAAGCAUGUCUACAAAAUGCUUUAAUUAGCCUAAACUUCAAAAUUUUGAUCACAAAAAGAUGGCCGGCCAACCAGAAAAGCAACAAUCUAUCUGUGACAACUGUGAUGGUUAGCUACUAAUAAUCCGAGCAAGAAUUUUCACUAAGGAGUUCAAAUAUGAAAUGGUAAACACAUAAACUAAUCAAAAGAGACUCACAUCUAUUAUAUAUAACUAAAACUAAUAAUUUUAACAUUCUGAUUCCCAUACAUGACAACAGAAUAAACAACAACAAUCAACCACCAAGUCUGGAAAAACAAACCACAGCUGAACAGAGGAACAACAACAACAAAAAACCCAGUGUAUUCCCACAGAGUGAAGUUUGGGGAGAGUAAGAUGUAUGCAGUCCAUAACGCUACCUACAAAGAAAUAGAGGUUGUUUUCGAUAGACCCCCGACUCAAGAUAAAGAAUAAUAAACAAAGGGAUGGAUGACAUAACAAAAAUAUAGACUAAGAAAUAAUAAAAUAGAAAUUAGAAAAAUACAAAAUAUGAUAAAUAAAGGCAACACGAAAUAAGAAAAUAGGAACUAAGAAAUAGAAAAUGGGACACGCACCUAGUAGUAACAUACUGUAACACCCCGAUUUUCUGAACCGGAAUGCUACAUGGUGCUCAUGACCUCGAAGGACCACAAGCUAACCCACGACUGAUAUCUGUACCUAUAUACUGCAUAAUAUAACAUAAAAAUGCAGAAAAUAUGUACUGCAAGGCCGUAAGGUUCAACUGAAUAAACAUCUAAUAAGAAUAAUAUCUGAAGACGGUAUAACAAUACCAAAACAAAACUGUAAUAACUUUCUGACAUGCUGUAGUCUGAAAGCCUCUAAACUGUCUGAAUAAGAAUUUGAAGGAACAUAUCUCCAACUAAAUCCAUCUAACAACUGAAUAGUAAAUGUAGCAAUAAUCAUAUUGUCCUCGAAUGAGGACUCACUGCAAACUCUGAACACUGAAAUGUUACUGCUGAUCUGGAGCUCGUGCCUCUAAACCUAUGGUGUAACAUAAGAGAAAGCACCAUAGCGUAAAUGCGUCAGUACGUCUGAAUGUACUGAGUAUACGAGUAAGGUAGGCUAAACGCAAAGGGUUAUAUGCAUGAACAAUGCUACUAAUAUGGACAUGAGAAUACAUACAUGCAUACAUAACUGUAACUGAACUUGUGGAGAUACUGACUACUGAGUCUGAAUACUGACAAUAUGAGUGUACUGAUACUGAGAUACUGAAUAGAUGAACGACUAUUUCUGACAGUUCGAAUUAUGAAGAACUAGUCUGGUUGACUGUGUCUGACAGUCUUGAAACUGAAUACUGAUAUCAUGAAUUCUGAUAACUGAUAUGACUGAUACAUGAGAACAGAAAAUUGUUAUAACUGAUAUAACUGUGAUGAUCAGCCUAACCGAUAUAACUCAUACUGAGCGACUGUAUCUGACAGUCUAAGUUCUGAUGGAACUAUCUGAGUUCCGUUCUACUUGGAGUAACUAAAUCUGAGAUCAGUCCUAUCUAGCGGGUGAUCAUGAAUAUACUGAUAAUAAGAAUGAUUUGACUUAGUCUGAGAUCAGUCCUAUCUAGUGGGUGAUCUUUAAGGCUAUUUACAAUGAUAAGCAUUGACUGUAUCUAACAAUACUGAAUCUGUACUACUGAAACUGUGGGAUGUGUUCAUCUAACUGACAUGCCCCAAGCUAAGCUGACUGGGGUCCAAUCUCUGCCCUGACUGGAAGGGUGUCAGUACCGCGCCACCAGUAAAGACAUCUGUUGUGGAGUCAGUACUAAUAUAGCGGGUGACUCUUGGGAUCAGUCCUAUACAUAUAAAUGUGCUAACGGGUGACCCCUGAGUAUGUAGUCCUAUCUAACGGGUGACAUCUCGUACCUACGCUAGCUACAUAGUUCUGGAACUUAAGGAUUGCUUCUAAGAAUCUCAGUCCUAAUCUAGCGGGUGAGUCCCCAUCCCUAGGCUCACUCGGUACUGAAUCCUACUCCCAUCUGAAAGACACUGAACUGAAUAACUGGGCUGAACCAAAUAACUUAACUGAACUAAUUUGCUGAACUGAUACUGAUUAAUUGAACUGAAAAUAGUGGUAUUGUUUUGCGGAGCUAAAACAGAGUUUACUGGAUUCCGAUGACUGAUGGAAUGUACUGAGUUCUAAGGACUAGUUGAGAGUACUGAAAUUAUUGAGAUUGACUUUGAAUACUAAGGUUACAGAUAUUACUGAGUACUGAGAUCACUGAGAUUACUGAACUACUAAGAUUACUGAGAUUUCUGAGUUUUCCUAAGUCACAUGACUGACUGAAUUCUAUAAAUCAUGGCUUAACUGAAAGUAUCGUGAUAACAUGACAUGGCUCUAGGCACACAGCCAUAGUUUUCGGGUACGAAUACCUCCAGGACUCGAUGGAAUGAAACUGACUCACACAUGACACGACUUGAUCACAAGAUCGGAGUCCACAAUUCACAAUAUCAUAAGUAGGGGAUAUUAUACUUCAUGCAUUUAUUCAACAUCUCAAACAUGGUAGGGAAAAGCAUGGAUAUAUUUCAUGUACAUAAUUCAUACCUCCAUUAUCAUACAUACUCCAUACCACAACAAUAACAACACAUAAAUAGCAUGGAAAUCCAUAUUGAAGUGUAUAGCUAACACAGACUUGUCAUUUAGAUAUCAUUGAAUCAUGUAAAUAUUAAUUUCUAGCAUCCUAGGCAUUUUAUCAAACACGUUGCAUGCAUUCUUUAAGGCAUAGGUGGAUUUCAUCAAAUUAUACAUCAUGAACAAUCAAAUUUACAUAUUUCCAACUCAUAUGAUAUCAUGGAAUUCAAAAAAACAUAUAAAGAUUCCAUCUUGGGAAUCUCCUAAUAUCAACAACAUGAUCAUUAACACCCAACAAUAUAGAAAUUAUACUUUAAUGAAAAACAAGGUUUUUGAGCUUUAUGGAUGAAAAGGAUCCAUAAAUCAACUUAUGCAUACCUUAGAAGGAAGAUUCUUGAUGAUUGACGGAGGAAAAGGUUCUUGAAGAAUUACUUAGGCUUGCCUUGAUUUUUCUUGACUAGGGUUUAACCCCUUUGGGAAAGAAUGCUCUCUUGUUCCUGAGGAGAUGAUCUUGAGAUAAAACCCUAAUCUUGUGGUUGAGAGUGUAAGAGAGGUUUUUAAGAUGCUUAACUGAAAAAAAUGAGAAAAAUUACGCCUCUUUAAGGUUAUAAAUCGUAGAAGGUGAAAGAAAAGACCAAAAUACCCUUAUGAAAUAAAUUCCCGGUUGUUGAAAAUCAUAGCUGACGACAUUUGUGACAAGGCGUCAAAAGUGUGGUAAGCCGUCAAAAAUGUCGUCACACAGGAGCUGGAACUGAUGGUUUCUGCCUAAGUCUGACGACCUUCGUGGUAGGGCGUCACAACCACGAAUGUCGUCACACAGGAGCUGGUUUCUGCCUAAGGCUAACGACCUUCGUGGUAGGGCGUCACAAAUGUGGUAAGCUACCACGAAUGUCAUCAUAUAGGAGCUGGAUUCUGCCUAAGGCUAACGACCUUCAUGAUAGGGCGUCAUAAAUGUGGUAAGCUACCACGAAUGUCGUCACACAGUUUCCAGCCUGACAUGGUGGAGUAAAAUAGGAAUAACUCUUUGCUCCGAUAUCGAAUUUAGACGAAAUUGAUAUCGUUGGAAAGAUAAUUCAAUUAUCUAUCUGUUGAUAGGUCAUAAGCUCAAAAAUUCCAAGUGUAAUGAGAGAUAUGUUCGUUUGAAGUUGACUAUACCAAUAUCCUUCUCAAGAAUUCAAUCGGUAAGAAAUGUUUUGACUCAUCUGAUAGCUGGGAGUUAUUUGAAGCCUUAAUAUACAUCUAACUUACUCAUAAAACUAUAAAAGAACAACGAUGUACUACGCAUGAGCUUGAUACAUGGCUAUAAUAUUGGUUUGGAUUUUUCAGGGUAUUACGCAUACACUCACAUACCAAAGACACCUAUAUACACAGCCCUACGAUUACUAACCCGAGUACACAAGAUCUCUCUUGACUGCUUGCUACGACCCACACACUCACACUAACUAGCCUUCUACCCUUAUCCACGCCCUCCACACCUUCCUAUCUAGGGUCAUGUCCUAAAUAAGCUGAAGUUGUUUCAUGUCAUGUCUAAUCACUUCCCUCCAAUAUUUCUUCGACCUACCUCUACCCCUCCUAAAGCCAUCCAAAGCUAGCUUCUCACACCUACGAACUAGGACAUCUGCGCCCCUCCUCAUCACAUGCCCAAACCAUCUCAGCCUUCCCACAUCUUGUCCUUCACCGGAGCCACUCCUACCUUCUCUUGGAUAAUCUCAAUCCUAACUCUGUCCCUCUAGUAAGCCCACACAUCCAAUGCAACAUUCUCAUUUCCGCCACCUUCAAUUUUUGGAUGUAGAAGUGCUUGACUGGCCAACACUCCACUCCAUACAACAUGACCGGACGGACUGUCACUCUAUAGAAUUUGCCUUUAAGCUUAAGGGGCACCUUCUUAUCACACAACACUUCCGAGGCGAGCCUUCACUUCAUCCAACCUGCUCCAAUACAUUUAGAAACAUCCUCAUCAAUCUCACCAACAAUAAUAACAAAAACAUAUUCAGUAGAUUCCCACUUAGUGAGGUGCUAAACAAAGGAGCAAAAUGCAGAAAAAUGAAAACUCUAAGGGAUAAGAGCAAGCUUGCAGUUGCAAUGCUGAAUGAUAACAUUGGCCAACAACUGGACUCAUCUAUAGUUAAUCAAACGAUUUUCAAAUAGAUAAUUGACAACCAAGUCACUAUACUUAAAUAUUUUCAAGUAACUAAUUCACAUUUCAAGUGACUACACUUAACCAUUUUCGAGUCACUUUAACCAUUUUCAAGUCGCUAGUACACAUUUCAAGUCACUACACUUAACCAUUUUCAAAUAACUAAUUCACAUUUCAAGUGACUACACUUAAUUAUUUUCAAGUCACUAGUACACAUUUCAAGUUACUACAUUCAAACCAUUUUCAAAUAGCUAAUUGACAUUUCAAGUCACUAUACUUAACCAUUUUCAAGUAACUAAUUCAUAUUUCAAGUAACUACACUUAAUUAUUUUCAAGUCACUACACUUAACCAUUUUCAAACAACUAAUUCAAUUGCAAGUCACUACAUUCAAACCAUUUUCAAAUAGCUAAUUGACAUUUCAAGUCACUAUACUCAAGUAACUAAUUCACAUUUUAAGUAACUACAUUUAACCAUUUUCAAAUAACUAAUUCAGUUGCAAGUCAGUACACUUAACAAUUUUCAAGUCUCUAAUUCACAUUUCAAGUCAACACUUAACCAUUUUUAAGUAAACAAUUCAUAUUUCAAGUGACUAAACUUAACCAUUUUUAAGUCACUGGUACACAUUUGAAGUCACUACAUUUAACCAUUUUCAAAUAACUAAUUCACGUUGCAAGUUACUAUACUUAAACAUUUUCAAGUCACUAGUAUACAUUUCAAAUUACUACACUUAACCAUUUUCAAUCAACUAAUUCACAUUUCAAGUCAUUAUAUUUAACAAUUUUCAAGUAACUACAUUUUAUCAUUUUCAAAUAACUAUGCUUAACCCUUUUCAAAUCACUAAUACACGUUUCAAGUAGUGUCACACAUAGAUGAUCUAAUGAUGGAUUGUACUCGAGUUUCUAUUUUAGCAUAAAAUGGUAUACUUUCACUAAUACACGUUUCAAGUAGUGUCACACAUAGAUGAUCUAAUGAUGGAUUGUACUCGAGUUUCUAUUUUAGCAUAAAAUGGUAUACUUUGCCUUUCAAAUGCAAUCCAGCUAGGUUAUUCACACACACAAAGAAAGUAGAACUUUGCCAUAGAAUACAAAAAGUGAACAAGAACUAUUUCGGCCCCAUCUACGUGGAUGGACCAUAUUUUAUACGAAUGAACAUUAAAGGAAAAGGCGAAAGGAAUAAAAUAUUGAGAUGAAGCAUCAUAUCACCACCUAGAAGAUCCUAUAUAACAAUCUUUUAUACUCAUCAAGUGUAGACAUAGCUUAUGAAUAAAAUAGUUCAUCAUUGAACACUUCCCGUCUCCUAAUCUCACUACUUUUAGUUCUCUCCUUUCCAACAGGCUAUAAAGAAAGGGAAACAUAGGUGAGAUCAAUAAAGACAUUUAGCUCCAAAGAAAAAUGAAAUUGCGUUCUUUCCAAGUCUCGCUAUCACGUUAUGCAUUCUAACAGUAACAAGCAGAGCUCAUGAAAUUUCCCAUAUGUCAAAAACAAACAGAGAUUUCCAUGUCUCUAAACAUCUUGUUGGUGCACCAAAAAGAAACAGUGAGUGUCGUUGCAGACAUAAGUGGCAAUAUCAAUAAGUUUGAGUUAGAAACCAACAAAUUUAUACCAGAUGUUGAUUCUGCCGUCUGGAAUCGCGACGACAACAGUUGUUGAUUCUGCCAGAUGGAAUCGCGGCCGGCGGAGCUGGUUCAUUUUCGCCGAUAAAACCUAGCGUUUGGCUUGGUUCACCGGCGACAGAGGAGAAGAGAAAGAGAUGAAGGGCGGCGGAGAGAGUUUUCCACCAGCCAGAGGUGGCCGGCGGUGGUGCGGUUGUUGAAGAUAGAGGAGAGAAAAAGGGUGGUGGGCGGCUGAUUGGAUUAUUCUAAAAAGAGAAAAAUGAAAUCUGAUUUGGGGGUUUGAUUUCUUUAGAAGGUAAAGAAAUGGGAGAUUUGAUCUUAAUCGUCGACUAUAUAAGAUCGAUGGUUAUGAUUAAAAUUAAAAUAUGUUAGUUAAUGAAUUGGGUUUAAAUUGACAUUAGUUUAGGCUAAAAUUGGCAUUAACUUAGUAUCAAAAUGCCUAAAAAUUAAAUAACUUGAAAAAUUGGAUUAAAUUUAGGUUGUUAUUUAAUAAAUAUAAUAAAUAACUUAAUAAUGGUACUGAGAAAAAUAUAAAAUUAUUAUUUUUAAAAAGAAAUAAAUUAUAUGUAUAAAAUUAAUGUUGUGUGAUAUAAAAUUGAUGGUAAUGAUUUGAAGCAAAUUAGGUGCAAAUUUUACGGAAUGAUAUUAUCAUAAUAAUAAUAAUAAUAA